GAUGAACGCUGGCGGCGUGCCUAAUACAUGCAAGUCGAGCGAACAGACGAGGAGCUUGCUCCUCUGACGUUAGCGGCGGACGGGUGAGUAACACGUGGAUAACCUACCUAUAAGACUGGGAUAACUUCGGGAAACCGGAGCUAAUACCGGAUAAUAUAUUGAACCGCAUGGUUCAAUAGUGAAAGACGGUUUUGCUGUCACUUAUAGAUGGAUCCGCGCCGCAUUAGCUGGUUGGUAAGGUAACGGCUUACCAAGGCAACGAUGCGUAGCCGACCUGAGAGGGUGAUCGGCCACACUGGAGCUGGGACGCGGACCAGGCUCCUACGGGAGGCAGCAGUAGGGAAUCUUCCGCAAUAGGCGAGAGCCUGACGGAGCAACGCCGCGUGAGUGAUGAAGGUCUUCGGAUCGUAAAACUCUGUUAUUAGGGAAAAACAAAUGUGUAAGUAACUAUGCACGUCUUGACGGUACCUAAUCAGAAAGCCACGGCUAACUACGUG
rnacentral:rRNA from 1 species